AGGCGCAUAUGUGGAGCAUAUGUGGAGCAUUUCAGCAGUUCAGUUUCAUUUAGCCUCAACUACAGUCGUUUGUUUCCUUUCACUGUGUGAACACAAUGGACUGUGUAUGGGUAAAAAGUCCCGGCUAGAGAAAAUGGCUGAGUUCCAGCAGAGAGGGGAAGACCUGGAGCAUAACUUUGCAGAAUGCAAGGCUCUUUUAAAUGAGGCCCAGGAACGGCUUAAAAAGCUGGAAGUAGAAAGGCAGGAGGGGGAGCCGAAUGAGGAGUUAGAGGCUGAGCUGAAUAAAUUCCAGGCUGAGGUGAAAAAACUGAAGAAGGAUGAAAAAAAGUUUGAAAAACUGAUCGAAGAAUACCGACGGGAAGAGAAGAAACUGCCCUGGAAUGUCGACACCCUGAGUAAAGAAGGCUUCAGCAAAAGUGUUUUCAACCUGAAGCCUGAAAUGAGGGAGGAAACUGAGAAGGAAAAAGUGGAGAAACACAAGACAUUUGUGGAGAAGUAUGUGAAGGAAAUCAAACACUUUGGUAUGUUGCAUCGCUGGGAUGACAGUCAGAGGUAUCUGUCAGAUAACCCACACCUGGUGUGUGAAGAAACGGCUAAUUGCCUUGUUGUCAUCUGCAUUGACUAUGAGAUUGAUGAAAAACAUGCUCUGAUGGAGCAGGUGGCCCACCAGGCCAUCGUUAUGCAGUUUAUUUUGGAUUUAGCCCGAGCGUUAAAGGUCGACCCAAGAGGCUGCUUUAGAGACUUCUUCUCAAAGAUUAAGACUGCAGACAAGAAAUACCUGGACAUGUUUGACCACGAGCUGGACUUGCUGAAGGAGAGAGUCCGCAGCUGCGCACAGAGUCGUAUGGAGGGCGCUAUGAAGGAGCUAGAGGAAGAGGAGAAGCAGAAGAGAAUGGGCCCAGGUGGUUUAGACCCUGUAGAGGUUUAUGAAUCACUGCCAAAGGUAAAACACCUACAUAUGCAAGCAUACACGAAGAUAAGGCUGGUUUAAUGUUAGUUUGCAGAGGUUUUUUUGCUUACACAUGAAAAUAGAAUAAGAUUUACAUUUUCUGCUACUUUAUUAAUUACACUUGUUUUACUACUUUUAAUGUAAGUACCCAGUCAGCCAGUCAAAAUGCAGCAACCAAUGCAUUUAGGAAUGUAGACAUGGUCAAGAUGAUCUGCUUACGUUCAAACUGGGCAUCAGAAUGGGGAAGAAAGAUUAUCCAAGUGUCACUCUGGGCUACUCAGUACAAGCUGGGCAUCAUUAAAAAGUCACAGCCUGCCUGUGUACUGUUGUUGACCAUGUCCAUCCCUUUAUGAUCACAGUGAACCCAUCCUCUGAUGGCUACUUCCAGCAGGAUAAUGCACUCUGUUAAAAUGCUCAGAUAAUCUCAGACUGGGUUAUAAGUUCACUCUGCACAAAUGGCCUCCACAGUCACUGGAUCUCAAACCAGCAGCGCUCUAGUGGAUACCCUAGAAUGGGUGAUCCAGAUUAUGGAGUGCAGCUGACAGAUGCACAGCAGUUAUGUGGAUGCUAUCAUGUUAAUAUGGACCAAAAUCUCUGACAAAUGGUACUAGCACCUUCUUAAAUUUGUGCCAGAGAAUUAAGGCAGUGUUAAUGCUAAAAUGGUUCUUGUAACUAUCUUAUAAAGUGGCCAGUGAGAGGAUAUUCAGUAAUUACAAAUGAUGGCUCCAAUAUACAGGAACAGCUGCUAAGAGAUAAAUUAAGAUAAGGAGGUAAAAAACAUACUGUCAAAGUUUUUUUUGUUGACUCAAACUCAGAUGAACAGUUUGAAUUCUGAAUUUACAAGCAGACUCUGGUUUCUAAGAGCAGUUUGGUGGCUUUUUCUAUCAGGGCAUUGUUUAAUCUAAUUGUUUUUUACAACCUAAAAACAAAAACUUGACUCAAGUCUAUGAUAUUCAGCAAAAUUUAAAGUUAAAUUUAUAAGCUCUUGGGGCACGCAGAUGGUCGAGUGGUUUAAGGCACACGUAUUGUACACGGGCGGAAUCCGGCUUGUGGCCCUUUGCUGCAUGUCUCUUCCCUCUCUCAUCACUGUUUCCAGGUCUAUCCACCGUCCUCCGCUAUCUAAUAAAAGCAUGAAAAGGCCCAAAAGUAAAUCUUAAAAAAAAAUUGUAAGCUCUUGGAUCCAAUUUUUUCUUUGUCUGUUCACAUUACUUUUUAAAAUGUGGUUUACCAAAGUUCUGUAGUAAUUUUAAAAGCUUCAUCAUAACAACUGAGAUUCUGCUGUAUAAAGACAAAAUGUUGCUGUUGUUUAAAAUGCUGAACAUGGGGCAUGUUUUUAACGUUUUAAUUUUGACAGUUGAAUCUGGGAAGAGAGACUGCAUUUUUUCACGUAUUUGAAAACUGUAGUCGUCCAAGUAAAUGUUUGCCCAGUUUAUUGAUAUGAACCGUGCUGCCAUGUGGAUAAUCAGAGGAGUCAAUACACAGCUCAGCAGAGUGGACUCCACAGUCAGGCAUGAGCUCUCUGAAAGGAAAUACAGAGGAGCUUUGAUGAGAAGAACAUUCAGAUGCUGCAGGAAGCCAUUGGCAAACUGGACCCUGUGGAAGGAAAAUACCACCUUAAG